GAAGUGGAGGUUGCAGUGAGCUAAGAUCGUGCCACUGCACUCCAGCCUGGGUGAUACAGCCAGACAUUGUCUCCAAAAAAAAAAAAAAAGAAGAAGAAUGGUUCAGCAAAUGCCUACUGAGGAGCUAUCAUGUCCCGGAAAUUGCCUCCACUUCCAGGAAGACAGUGAGUCAGUUGCCAACCAGAAGGCCCAUUGAGCCUGAGCACUUCAGCGUGUGCUUCCUACAGAUUAAGGACGUCCUCCUGCAUAACUGUCCCAGGAAAAGGUCCCAAUCCAGACCCCAAGAGAGAGUUCUUGGAUCUCGCACAAGAAAGAAUUCAGGAAUGCGGCCCCUCUAGCCCUUGACUUGGAAAAUCUGGAGCUACCACUGAAGUCAACAAUGGCUACUGAAGGCACAAAAGGCCGUACAUGGUGGGUGAGGGGGGCUCAAGAACCGGAGAAGUGGAGUCGCCAGGCCUCAGAACAGCGCCAGGGAUCUGGGGAGCAGGAACUACCAGGCGAUCUCUUUAGAAGUCCAAGCUGCCCUUUACUCAGAGCUGUUGAUAUGAGUUGCCAAAUUACCUUCUAGAACAAA